rnacentral:lncRNA from 1 species
GAUAAUUCUAUAACUAGCUCUUACUAUUCAGGAUCCAAGUCUUGAUUGUCCUGAUUUGAAUGGUUAAUAAGAAAUGGGUGAGCUACACUAGCUCAAUAAGAAUAUCAACGGCUUACCACUGAUACAGAAAAUCAAAGAAUUGUAGAAAAAAUAAAACAGCUAAUGGAGCCCAUUAUUAAUAAAACUCAAAUGUUAAUGCAUUC